AGAUACGGCGGCUAAAGGCGUUAUUAAAGUUGCUCAUCCAAGCGCCUUCAUGUUUGUUCGUACCAAUUUUAAUGGACGGGAAGCCGACUGACGAACAUCCUUUUCCCGAGAAAUGGUUCGGCUACGACACAUGUUAAGAAGUCACGCCAGGGGCUGAAUUAAGGUCGACCGUUUCAGCUGCAUUGAUGUGAAGUGAUGCAGUGGACAACUUGUGAGGGUGAUACCAUCCACAUGCACCUUAACUGUGAUGCAGAAAUACAAUAGGAUGAUCCAUCUGUCUACACUUCAAAAUCACAACUCAACCUUAAACAACCCAUAUCUGUUAUGGUAAAACAAUGUGGCGGUUUUCCAGACAGGGCUUAUACUGUUCCCGGGCUAAAAUGCAUGUUUGAGCUACUGUAAUUAAGAAAACACCUUGUACUGACACAUCUCAACAUAUCAGUGCCAUUGUUUUGUUUCAAGGUGCACACCAGUCUUGUUUUUGUAAGGUUUGUUUGUAAAAACUAAAAUGUCCUAAUAUAAGUGCCCAGUCCUGGUUUAAUCUAAACCAUUGGUGACCAAACCUGUGUCUUGAGAUCUACUGUCCUGCAGAGUUCAGCUCCAACCCCAAUCAAACACACCUGAACCUGCCAAUCAAGCAUUUCAGGGCAACCUUAAAAUUAUAGUCAGGUGUGUUUGUUAAAGCUGGGUUAGAACUAAAAUAUGCAGGAGGGUAGAUCUCCAGGAACAGGGUGGGUCACCCCUGAUCUAAACAAAGGGUUUCCAAACUGUGUCCUGCAAAGUUUAGCUCUAACCCUAAUCAAACACACCUGAAGCAGCCAAUUAAUGUCCUACUAAGCAUACUAGAAACUUACUGGCAUGUGCUCUGAUGCAAGUUAGAGCUAAACUCUGCAGGACACCGGCCCUGACUAAGCCCUGUCUGGGAAACUGCACCAAUGUGUUAAGCUGGCACCAUUGGACAUUACUGCUGCUGAGAAACAACCACAUUUCUCCGCUCUACACAGGGUUGACAUUGGAUGCAUUAUUAUUAUAAAAUGCAUUCAUGUGCACUUUACCAAUACUGUACAUACAUCAACAGCUUCCAGCUAUACACUUGGGAUCAGCUCCUGAUGCCUCUCAUAAUGCUGUGUUAUAAUUUAUUGCAGGGUGAUCUUGCUAAAAUGAUAUUUUUAUAAACCUUUACAAUGUCACCAGAUGUUACCUGUUGUGAAUUAUUAUUUUAUAAACCUUUACAAUCUCA